ACCUGGAGAUAGCUGGUUCUCUCCGAAAUAGCUUUAGGGCUAGCCUCAAGUGAUGAUUAUUGGAGGUAGAGCACUGUUUGGACGAGGGGCCCCUCUCGGGUUACCGAAUUCAGACAAACUCCGAAUGCCAAUUAAUUUAACUUGGGAGUCAGAACAUGGGUGAUAAGGUCCGUGUUCGAAAGGGAAACAGCCCAGACCACCAGCUAAGGUCCCAAAAUAUAUGUUAAGUGGAAAAGGAUGUGGCGUUGCCCAGACAACUAGGAUGUUGGCUUAGAAGCAGCCAUCAUUUAAAGAGUGCGUAAUAGCUCACUAGUCGAGUGACACUGCGCCGAAAAUGUACCGGGGCUAAACAUAUUACCGAAGCUGUGGAUUGUCCUUUGGACAAUGGUAGGAGAGCGUUCUAAGGGCGUUGAAGCAUGAUCGUAAGGACAUGUGGAGCGCUUAGAAGUGAGAAUGCCGGUGUGAGUAGCGAAAGACGGGUGAGAAUCCCGUCCACCGAUUGACUAAGGUUUCCAGAGGAAGGCUCGUCCGCUCUGGGUUAGUCGGGUCCUAAGCUGAGGCCGACAGGCGUAGGCGAUGGAUAACAGGUUGAUAUUCCUGUACCACCUAUAAUCGUUUUAAUCGAUGGGGGGACGCAGUAGGAUAGGCGAAGCGUGCGAUUGGAUUGCACGUCUAAGCAGUAAGGCUGAGUAUUAGGCA
rnacentral:rRNA from 1 species